rnacentral:tRNA from 1 species
GCCCGCGUGGUGAAAUGGCAGACACACGAGACUUAAAAUCUUUUGGAGGUAAUUCUCCGUGCCGGUUCGAGUCCGGCCGCGGGCA